AUAUCAAAUGCUUUCCCGAUUAUCUCUCUCUCGCUGGUCUCUCUCUAAACUAGGGUCUCACUACCCUCUCUUCUCACUGCCUUGUCUCUCUCUUUGGCGGUGACAGUUACGGUUUAGUGGUAAUGGCGACGGUGAGUUGUCAAUUUCACUGAAGAAGGGCUACAAGUGUGUGCAAUCUACACAGAAGAAAAGCAGAGGCAUAUCGAUUUGCAGGUGCAGGAGGAAUAAGUUCAAGCAGCUAUAUAUUUACAGUGGUAUUCCCAUCUUCACUUCUGCUCGUGACCUGAAAUUCCUUUAAGAGGCCUUCUUCAAAGUCCAGAAAACAAGGGCUUAUUUUAAGCUUUUCCAGGUUAAAUUCAAGGGAAAGACAGGUGGUUAGUAAAUAAAAUCAAUGACAUCGAAAGGUCAUGGUAAUGAACGAUGUAAGAAAGGUAAGAAAUGACCUGAUAAUCUUCCUGCAGGUCAAUAUAAAGCACCAUAACCACCACCUGUUACCACAACUCUUCAACCAGCUACUAAAAAUCUUUCUCCUCUCCCAAGGUCAACUAUUUCACUACCAAAUGCAUUUUUCAUGCCCUUACCAUCUGACAAGUUCCACACCUCUUCUUCCCAUAAUAGUCUGCAUAGUAGCUCUUCAUCUGUACCUUUAGCAUUAUCCACAACUAGCCUUUCUGGAUUGAGAAUUGGAGGUCCUAGCACAUCAACAUCACGAUCCACUGAUAGGGCUACAAUGACUAAUACUACAGCAGGUGCUUCCCAGAAUCUAAAAUUUAAAGAGGUAUUAGAAUAUGACAACCACGAGAGGCUAAUUAUCGUCCCUGAUGGUGAUAGGUAAGUAACCCUUAUGUUUUUCCUUAAUUUUUAAAAUUUUUGAAAGCUAAGAUGAUCUAAUAUAAUUUUAUUGCAAGUUCAUUGUUGCAUAUGUCGGCGGACAUAUGGUUAUAGAAGCAGUUAAACCAUUUUCACGAAACCGUGGAAUAGUUGGAACGAGAUUCGCUACUACAUCAGAAUUCUUAUGUGGAAACAGUUUAUGACAAAGUGUGCAUGGAAGACUUUUUAUGAAAAUGAAAUACAAGAUAUUUUCAAGUUGAAAGCAGCUCUACGGAUCAAAGAACACUUGUAUGAGGCCCGAAAGAAAUUGCAAACCUGGUUGGCUGACAAAUGAUAUGUCGAUUAAGUUCUUGGAAAAAUGGGAUACUGAUGUACCUCAAGUUAUAAAAACUUAUUCUAGGAGGCCAAAAUAAACAAUUGGGAAACUUAGUAACUGUCAUGAGACAUUUACACAUAUAUUGGGUGGUUUUUUUUUGUAGAAAAGGGAUAGGACAGUAGGCACAAAUAUUUAGAAAAGAAAAAGGAAUCUUCUGGGAGAGUUCUAGCCUCUCGAAUGUCUAGGAAUGCUGGAAUUUGUGUAAUCUUAGUAGUAUGUACUGUAUUAGUGGAUUUCAUAUGUGUUAGGUUGUCUCUAACAGUAUUAGUAGUUUCUUAGUGACUGUUUUCAGAUUUAUUGUUGUAAUAUCAGAAUAUCUAGCGUAAAACAUCAAUAUUUGUUUCUCUA